AUCAUUAAAAUAUUAAAUUUGGAAUACAAAUCCAGAUCUGCUACGAUCAACUAUUUCUCACCAAACAACUUUUCGUUUGUGAAAAAUCAGUAGCCUUGAAGAGUUUCUCACAAUAAUAUCGAGAUGGAUUGGGUUCUACAGCGACACCAUUGUGGAUCGACGUCCUAAGAGCUCUAACUCUUCAUCUUCUUCGGUUGCAGUUAGGCGUCAUAGCAACGCGUCAAAAAUAUAAAGUCAUCACUGAUGAUCGCAUCUCAUAUUUUCACUUAGAUCUGCAGUCACACAACUCUUAAAUCUGUUGUGUCGCGCCUAAAUCUGUUGGGCAGUGCCGUGGAGGCUCGAACGACGAUGAAUUGGACAUGGAUUUGGUUUAGAAGCUUCCAUCGAUUUUACUAGAUGAUCUGUUGUGUUUGGAAAUGAUAUGGUGAUGGAGUUUCUAUUUUUAAUUGUUAAUUUGUUUGAAAAUGAUUUGUUUAUGGGCAGUUGAUUUAAUGAAUUCAUUAUAUAAUAAUUUUAGUUUUUAAAUUUUAAAAUAAUAAUAUGAGCGAUGAACUGGACAUGGUUUGAAGAUGAACUAGACAUGAAUAUGGUUUGAAGCUUCCAUCGAUUUUACUAAAUUUGUAAUACUAAAAUACGAAUAUAUUUAGUAUUUUAAUGAUGUAAUGAUGGAC
rnacentral:lncRNA from 1 species